rnacentral:rRNA from 4 species
AUUUAAGGUCUAAUCUGCCCACUGAAAAUUUUAAUGGCCGCAGUAAUUUGACUGUGCAAAGGUAGCAUAAUCAUUAGUUUUUUAAUUGAAAGCUUGUAUGAAUGAUUGGACGAGAUAAAUUCUGUCUUUAGAUAAUAAAUAGAAUUUAAUUUUUGAGUUAAAAAGCUUAAAUUUAAAUAAAAGACGAGAAGACCCUAUAGAUCUUUAUUAAAUUUAAAUUAUUAUUAUUUAAGAUUAUUUUAUUUAUUAAUUUUGGUUUAAUUUUAUUGGGGUAAUAAGAAGAUUAAAAAAAUUCUUUUAUAUUGUUACAAAAAUUAUUGAUUUUAAGAUCCUAAAAUUUAGAUUAUAAGAUUAAGUUACCUUAGGGAUAACAGCGUAAUUUCUUUAGAGAGUUCAUAUUGAUAAAGAUGUUUGCGACCUCGAUGUUGGAUUAAAAGUUAUUUUAGGUGCAGUAGUUUAAAAUUUUGGUCUGUUCGACCAUUAAACUUUUACAUGAUCUGAGUUCAAACCGGUGUAAGCCAGGUUGGUUUCUAUCUUUAUUAUAAUAAAAUAUUAUAGUACGAAAGGACCUAAUAUUUAGUAAAUUAAAUACUUUAUUUUUGAAUAUAAGUAUUAUUUUGGCAGAUUAGUGCUUUGAAUUUAGAAUUCAAAUAUGUAAUUUUAUUACAAAUAAUAUUGUUUAUUUUAGAUUUAUUAUUUUCUUUAAUUUGUAUAUUAUUAUUGGUAAUUUGUGUGUUAUUAGGGGUAGC